GAAAGAUGGCUUUGGCUAUCACUCUGGGAUGGACCUGCGGUGCAUUAGCUAGUUGGUAAGGUAACGGCUUACCAAGGCGAUGAUGCAUAGCCGAGUUGAGAGACUGAUCGGCCACAAUGGAACUGAGACACGGUCCAUACUCCUACGGGAGGCAGCAGUAGGGAAUCUUCCACAAUGGGCGCAAGCCUGAUGGAGCAACACCGCGUGAGUGAAGAAGGGUUUCGGCUCGUAAAGCUCUGUUGUUGGAGAAGAACGUGCGUGAGAGUAACUGUUCAUGCAGUGACGGUAUCCAACCAGAAAGUCACGGCUAACUACGUGCCAGCAGCCGCGGUAAUACGUAGGUGGCAAGCGUUAUCCGGAUUUAUUGGGCGUAAAGCGAGCGCAGGCGGUUGCUUAGGUCUGAUGUGAAAGCCUUCGGCUUAACCGAAGAAGUGCAUCGGAAACCGGGCGACUUGAGUGCAGAAGAGGACAGUGGAACUCCAUGUGUAGCGGUGGAAUGCGUAGAUAUAUGGAAGAACACCAGUGGCGAAGGCGGCUGUCUGGUCUGCAACUGACGCUGAGGCUCGAAAGCAUGGGUAGCGAACAGGAUUAGAUACCCUGGUAGUCCAUGCCGUAAACGAUGAGUGCUAGGUGUUGGAGGGUUUCCGCCCUUCAGUGCC
rnacentral:rRNA from 1 species